AACUGCAAAAAGCAAUUUAAACAGCAAUUCAUUCAUUCAUUAACUACUUGAGCGGCUAUUGUGUUCAAGGCCCUGUGCGAGAAAGAGACCAUUUAAUGAUAGGACAGAGAAGAUUCUCCUGCCUCAUGCGGCGUGCAUGAGUAGAUGAGACAGUCAGGAAACCUGUCCCCUACAAUGCAACGUAACAGAAGCUCUGAUGGACAUCGCAUGCCGUGAGAACAUGCUGUCGGGGGAAGAGGGCGGUUCAGGAAUGCUUUCCAAAACGGGUGAGGCAAGUUAUACUAGGCAUAUUUGACGAAGUAAAAGGGCUCGGUAUGACCAGGUGCGGCAUGUUAAGGGGCAGACUGUAAAGAGAAAAAACAGGGACAAGACAGAUUCUACCCAUCUACAUAGAUGGUCGUCUGCAGUUUGAACAAUGCUGACCUCACAGUGGAAAACUGCUUGACAGGACUAGGCAGGAUGGACAGAAAACCCAUUUCCCUGCUUUACAGGUGGCUGUGAGCAGGGCGGGAUGCCCACGUGAGAGCAGCAGAGAAGCUCCAUAUAACUCGCAGGGAAGAAACACCAGGGAAAUGAAGAAGAGAAAACUGAGACACUGAGUCUUCAUUUAUUUCCUGCCACUGAAAGCUGAAGAAAGGCAAGGCAAACAGUGGAAGAGAAAAAGAAAUGAGCAAGGGAGAUCAGGAAAAGAGGAGCUACAUAAUUCAUCUGUUGCUGUCAGAAAUGGCAUGAAAUUAAAAUCCUUCUUAAAAGA